rnacentral:rRNA from 1 species
GCUUGCUUUUCUGCUGACGACCGGCGCACGGGUGAGUAACGCGUAUACAAUCUGCCUUAUACAGAGGGAUAGCCUUUAGAAAUGAAGAUUAAUACCUUAUAGUCUAUUUUUAUAGCAUUAUAUAAAUAGUAAAGCUUCGGUGGUAUAAGAUGAGUAUGCGUCCUAUUAGUUAGUUGGUAAGGUAACGGCUUACCAAGACAACGAUAGGUAGGGGCCCUGAGAGGGGGAUCCCCCACACUGGUACUGAGACACGGACCAGACUCCUACGGGAGGCAGCAGUGAGGAAUAUUGGACAAUGGAGGCAACUCUGAUCCAGCCAUGCCGCGUGCAGGAAGACGGCCCUAUGGGUUGUAAACUGCUUUUAUAUAGGAAGAAACCUUUUCACGUGUGAGAAGCUGACGGUACUAUAAGAAUAAGGACCGGCUAACUCCGUGCCAGCAGCCGCGGUAAUACGGAGGGUCCGAGCGUUAUCCGGAAUCAUUGGGUUUAAAGGGUCCGUAGGCGGGAAUCUAAGUCAGUGGUGAAAUCUUGCAGCUCAACUGUAAAAUUGCCAUUGAUACUGGAUUUCUUGAAUUAGUGUGAAGUGGUUAGAAUGUGUAGUGUAGCGGUGAAAUGCAUAGAUAUUACACAGAAUACCAAUUGCGAAGGCAGAUCACUAACACUAUAUUGACGCUGAGGGACGAAAGCGUGGGGAGCGAACAGGAUUAGAUACCCUGGUAGUCCACGCCGUAAACGAUGGAUACUAGCUGUUCGAUCUUCGGAUUGAGUGGCUAAGCGAAAGUGAUAA